UGGGGAAUAUUGCACAAUGGGCGAAAGCCUGAUGCAGCAACGCCGCGUGAGUGAUGAAGGCCUUCGGGUUGUAAAGCUCUGUCUUUUGGGACGAUAAUGACGGUACCAAAGGAGGAAGCCACGGCUAACUACGUGCCAGCAGCCGCGGUAAUACGUAGGUGGCAAGCGUUGUCCGGAUUUUACUGGGCGUAAAGGAUGCGUAGGCGGAUUUUUAAGUGAGAUGUGAAAACCCUAAGCUUAACUUGGGGACUGCAUUUCAUACUGGAAAUCUAGAGUGCGGGAGAGGAGAAUGGAAUUCCUAGUGUAGCGGUGAAAUGCGUAGAGAUUAGGAAGAACACCAGUGGCGAAGGCGAUUCUCUGGACCGUAACUGACGCUGAGGCAUGAAAGCGUGGGUAGCAAACAGGAUUAGAUACCCUGGUAGUCCACGCCGUAAACGAUGAGUACUAGGUGUAGGAGGUAUCGACCCCUUCUGUGCCGCAGUUAACACAAUAAGUACUCCGCCUGGGAAGUACGAUCGCAAGAUUAAAA
rnacentral:rRNA from 1 species